AUGCGCCCUGCUGUCGUCUGUAGUUGUUUUGAAAAACAAACAAACAAACAAAAAGUAGUUCAGAAGAUCCGUUUAGCGGAACUCCAGCCCUGUAACAGGUUAACAUUCGCUAUCUCUACAUCACUUCCGCGUACUUCUCGCUUUAUAAACCAGACUGUCACAUUCAGGCGAGAGAUUCCUGUCAGCUUACAGAAAUAUACAAAUUAUUCCAGACAUCUCGGCCCUUGUCAGGUCGAAUUAAUGGAGCCCUUGAACUUUCUAACGACUGAAGAGUUGCUGUUUUUUCUCCACCGGAAAAAGACGGAGAUUUCGUGCAUCGAGCAACCGCACAGACUCCUCACUCAGCUGCGCGACCACGAUCUGGUUCCGGAGAAACUUUUUGAGAAUGUAAAAAAGAUGCGUUCUCGUGAGCAGAAGGAGAAGGGCAUCUAUGAGGUUCUGGACUGGGUGGAGAAAAAUAAACCACAGUACAUGCAUCAGUUCUGGCGCUGUGUGUUUGAAGACCAUAUCCUGCAGCUCUACCCAACGCUACGCAUGCUCAGAAAAAAUCUGCUGGACGGUCGGUGGUUUUCACUAUCAUCAGCUUUAUGUUAUGUUAUCUAGAGGCUCACGCUGCGUUACUAUGCUAUGAUAGAGCAAGAAUGCAUUCAUAUAUAUAUAUAUAUAUAUAUAUAUAUACAGUAUUGUUUUAUUUUUUUCUUUGUACCAGGCACUUUCAAAUUUGAUGAGAAACAUCCAGAUGUUGAGACACCAGCAGAGGAGGAAAAGAGUGAAGGAAAGGCAGAGAAAGUGAAGGAGAAGAACUACAAAAGAAAGAGAAGUAAAGAUGAUAGAAGUAGUGAGGAUAGUGAUGAUCUUGGUUCUUCCUCUGCUUCUACACCCAGUCGGAAGGAACCAGCGUCUCUUGUGAAGAAAGGAGACAAGCAGGAGAUUUGGAAGUGGCCUGUUUAUAAAACGCAUCUGCCUGUAACCUGUGGGGAUAAAGAAGGCACUCUCUAUCGGGUCAAAAUGCCCAGAGGGGAAAAGUGUAUUUUGUCUCAAGGACGCUGGUUCACCCCAAAUGAUUUUGAAAGGUUUGCGGGGAAGGAAAAGUGCAAAAACUGGAAACUCAGCAUCCGCUGCGGAAACACACCACUUAAGAAACUCAUAGAAGUAAAUAAUGCAAGCACUUACAGAUUGUUGGUAUUUUGGGGAUCUAUAUUUAAAAAAAAAAUAUUGUGGAAAUUGUCUUUGGUUUUGCUGUAAACUUAUCGUACACUCACAAAUACUUUUUACUUAGAUAUUUUUAAAUGAACAUAUUCUGUUUAGAUAAAUAGGCUAAUUAAGCCACCUUUCCACCGCUGGAACUUUACCCAGGAACUAGGGACUAUUUAAAAAUGUGUUUCGCCGAUUUCGGAGACGAUCAGCUCCACGCGAUCAGCAGGAGCUCACGUCUCAUGUAUCCGCCGAGAGCACUCUCAACUCGGCUAGUCCUUCUGACAUUUCCUGCUGGCUCUGAUGUCUCUUUAGUGGUUAAACAAAAUAUAAUUUGUUUUGGGUAAAUCUAACAGGUAAUCUUUGGUCUUUAUUCAAUUUAUCUAUAUGUAAAAAUUUAAAUAAAAAGAGGACAUUUAUAUAAUAUUUCGUGUAU
ensembl:lncRNA